rnacentral:lncRNA from 1 species
CAGCCGAUGGAUCUGCGCCCCCUGGCAGGCCACAAUAAUGGCCACGAUCCUGCUCCACUUCCUGCGGUGGAUUCCGUACAGCUCCAUCACUCCCUGACAGGCUGUUUUAACGGCCAUGAUCCUGCUCCACUCCCUGCGGCGGACCCUACGCGACCCCAUUACUCCCUGACAGGCUAUAUUAACGGCCAUGAUUCUGCUCCACUCCCUGCGACGGGUGCUGCGUGACUCCACUACUCCCUGGCAAUUGGCG